rnacentral:misc_RNA from 1 species
GUCCCAUCUGUUGAUGCUCAUUCAAGUCACCCCUCACCUGGGCCAGCCACAAUGCACAAGCCAAGAAUGAGAUGGACGCCUGAGCUUCAUGAAUGUUUUGUAGAGGCCGUCAACAAACUUGGUGGAGCUGAAAAGGCCACUCCAAAGGGGGUUCUAAAGCUGAUGAAUGUUGAAGGUUUGACCAUCUAUCAUGUGAAAAGCCAUUUACAGAAAUAUCGAAUUGCCAAGUAUUUGCCAGAGAAAAAAGAAGAGAAGAAGGC